CUCUAUUAUAUCCUAUCAUUUAAAUAAUUUUGGAAAAAAAAGACUAAAUGUAAAAUGUUAAUUAUAUUAAUUAAGCCAUGCUGAAAAAUAUAGUCCAAUAGGUCUAAGAAGAAUAAACUAGGGGUCUUUUAUGCCAACGCCUGCCUGCAAAGUAUAUUCCACAUAAAAUCUUAAGAGACGCUAUUAAAAUACAAGAGCCGGAUUCGCUUCUGGCAAAACUUAUUUCAAAAUACGAAAGUCAUCACAUUCUACUUGAUUCCAGAUCUAUGAGGGAAUAUGCUGGUCCACUAUUUUCUGAAAAUCAGCAACAGGAUGCUUCUGAAUUUUUAGCAGCUCUUAUUAAUAAGUCUGAAAUUUUAAACAAUUUCACAAGUCACAAUAUAAUUAUUAUAACUAAAUGUCAACAGUGUAAAAAAAUAGACAGCAGAGAAUUCCGACAAAACUUGCUAUCAUCAUCUACAGCAAUUUCGAAAACAACGAUUACAGAGAUGUUGAAACAUAUGUCAAAUUGGAAUUCUAUAUCCGAUGGGUAGUAAUUGUUCGUCGUCAUUAUAAUCAACGAAAACAAUUCUAAAUUCUGCUCACAAUGUCUUCAUAACUGUAAUAUCAAUAUAUGAAGCAACUGAAAUAGGAUCUAGGAAAAAAUUAUUUCUUUAAACAAUAUCCCAAAUACUAAAAUAUUAUUUAAUGAAAAUGAAUAUCACUUUAAUUCAGGAAUAUUUCAUUAUGGAGAUAACAUUCAAUCUGGACAUUAUACUAUAAUUUUU
rnacentral:lncRNA from 1 species